rnacentral:miRNA from 1 species
CUGGAAGAGGAACAAGUG